rnacentral:tRNA from 1 species
UCCCUGCUGGUGUAAUCGGCAGCACGGCGCGCUCUGGCCGCGUCGAUCCAGGUUCGAGUCCUGGGCGGGGAUCAA